rnacentral:misc_RNA from 1 species
GAUGAAGAACGCAGCGAAAUGCGAUAAGUAAUGUGAAUUGCAGAAUUCAGUGAAUCAUCGAAUCUUUGAACGCACAUUGCGCCCGCCAGUAUUCUGGCGGGCAUGCCUGUUCGAGCGUCAUUUCAACCAUCAAGCCCCCGGCUUGUGUUGGGGACCUGCGGCUGCCGCAGGCCCUGAAAACCAGUGGCGGGCUCGCUAGUCACUCCGAGCGUAGUAAUACAUCUCGCUCAGGGCGUGCUGCGGGUUCCGGCCGUUAAAAAGCCUUAUUUACCCAAGGUUGACCUCGGAUCAGGUAGGAAGACCCGCUGAACUUAAGCUUAUCAAUAAGCGGAGGA